rnacentral:rRNA from 1 species
GUGAACGCUGGCGGUAGGCCUAACACCUGCAAGUCGAACGGCAGCACAGUAAGAGCUUGCUCUUACGGGUGGCGAGUGGCGGACGGGUGAGGAAUACAUCGGAAUCUACUUUUUCGUGGGGGAUAACGUAGGGAAACUUACGCUAAUACCGCAUACGACCUACGGGUGAAAGCAGGGGAUCUUCGGACCUUGCGCGAUUGAAUGAGCCGAUGUCGGAUUAGCUAGUUGGCGGGGUAAAGGCCCACCAAGGCGACGAUCCGUAGCUGGUCUGAGAGGAUGAUCAGCCACACUGGAACUGAGACACGGUCCAGACUCCUACGGGAGGCAGCAGUGGGGAAUAGUGGACAAUGGGCGCAAGCCUGAUCCAGCCAUACCGCGUGGGUGAAGAAGGCCUUCGGGUUGUAAAGCCCUUUUGUUGGGAAAGAAAAGCAGCAGGUUAAUACCCCGCUGUUCUGACGGUACCCAAAGAAUAAGCACCGGCUAACUUCGUG